CACUGACCGUGGACAUGCUCCGUAUGAAACUACUACCAGUAGGCUUUGGAAUCAUAAUGGUGACGAUGGGAGCGGGCUUUAUACUGGGACCAAUAGCCUGCGGUAAGGUACCUUAAUCGAAACAUUCCAGUCGUAUACGGUGGGACUGGUUGCAGCAGGUGGUUUAUUGUUAUUGGCAUCAUUGACAGGGAUGAUCAUGGCCGCCCUCAAGCCUACCAGAACGGAGGAAAUCACUGAAUAUGAUAUAAGUGGAGUGCCGGACGAGUUGAGCAAAGAUGUACAUAACAUGAGCAACGAUGACGAUGAUGCGAAAUUUGAUGACGUCAGCCUUAGAGAAAAUGAAGACAACACGUCAUGUUGACGUCAGGCUUAGGUGUGAAGAAGAAGAAAAGUCGAUUAACGACCAAAUCUGUUUAGUUAGAGACCAUGUCAUCAAAUACAGAUUUUACUUUUUUACUUUAUUUUUAUACCAUUGGUAGCGGCUGGUUUUAUGGUUGGAGAAAACCAUAGUGUCCAGAAUAUACACAGUCGACAUUUGGCAAGUUACUCAUGAAGUUUGUCACGUCAGACAGAUGGCAUGUAGGUCAGCGGUUAUCAGCGAACUCCAUGUAGCACCAUACAAUCCACAUAAGUGUGUAAGCCGAGUGCGCUGUUCUCGUGUCAGUACAAACGAAUGUGUAAGUACAAAAACAGCACGUGCAUAGGGCGCUUUAUUUUAAUAUUGUUCUUGUGGCGCCCCGAAAUCGGAGAGUGAAAAUCUUGUUCGCGAACGGUGAUCCUGUGUUUCAUUUUGGCAUCACACUCUAAUGUAGAUUCCAAGACAGCCUGAAGACAAGCGCUGAUUUCAAUAGUUGACCAUUGUAUGCCUUUGAAUACUGUGUUCUCUCAGUCGCCUAGAACAUACCCUGUGUCUUUCUAACAUCAAUGAAAACUGUUGACUGCUUCUCUUUGCAUGAUCCCGUCCUAUUAUCGUACUGUAUAUACUUUCUUAUUUCUUUGGUGGUUUGUGUUAUGCGUCGUUUUGGGAAUUGACAUUGCCAUUACUGACCUGGAACGUCCUUUUAGGCUGAUUUUAUAGGAAUGUCUGUUUCGACGCGUACAUUGUAAUCAAGUUCAUGCCAUGCAAAAGAUUGUGGGUCUCCGUGGUCGUUUAUGACCAGCUCAUGCUGACUUUCUCUCCGACCGUACGCGGGAAGGUCUUCCAGCCACCUGCGGAUGGUCGUGGGUUUCCGUAGGGCGCUACCUGGCUCCCCCCCCCCCCCCCACCAUAAUGCUGGCAACCAUCGUAUAAGUGAAACGUUCUUGAAUACUGCGUAAAACGGCAAUCAAAUGAAUAAAUAAAUAGAACCAUGAUUUUUUUGUACCGAAAACAUUUCUAAUGAUACAACACAGAGCUGCACUUAUCCAAGGUUCAACGUCGCGAUCCUUCUUCCAUGAUCAACAUUGCUUGUUUCCUAAGGAUUGAUCUAAGUUGGGUUUUCACGAGUCGUUUUUAAAUUAUUCCACUGGUUCUUUUUUCUAUAGGCAGAAGCUCCGGGUUUUCGCGAGAUGACUCAGAAUAAAUGGAUGGUUUU